GUGCUCGCUUCGACAGCACAUAUACUAAAACUGGAAGAUACAGAGAUUAGCAUGGCCCUUGCGCAAGGAUGACACGAAAAUUCAUGAAGCGUUCCACAUUUUU